rnacentral:rRNA from 1 species
AACGAACGCUGGCGGCAUGCCUAACGCAUGCAAGUCGAACGAGACCUUCGGGUCUAGUGGCGCACGGGUGCGUAACGCGUGGGAACCUGCCCUUAGGCUCGGAAUAACUCCCCGAAAGGGGUGCUAAUACCGGAUAAUGUCUUCGGACCAAAGAUUUAUCGCCUUUGGAUGGGCCCGCGUUGGAUUAGCUAGUUGGUAGGGUAAAAGCCUACCAAGGCGACGAUCCAUAGCUGGUCUGAGAGGAUGAUCAGCCACACUGGGACUGAGACACGGCCCAGACUCCUACGGGAGGCAGCAGUGGGGAAUAUUGGACAAUGGGCGAAAGCCUGAUCCAGCAAUGCCGCGUGAGUGAUGAAGGCCUUAGGGUUGUAAAGCUCUUUUACCCGGGAUGAUAAUGACAGUACCGGGAGAAUAAGCUCCGGCUAACUCCGUG